rnacentral:rRNA from 1 species
CUAGUAGCUGGUUCCCUCCGAAGUUUCCCUCAGGAUAGCUGGUGCAUUUUAAAAUUAUGUAAAAUAAUCUUAUCUGGUAAAGCGAAUGAUUAGAGGCCUUAGGGUCGAAACGAUCUUAACCUAUUCUCAAACUUUAAAUGGGUAAGAACCUCACCUUUCUUGAUAUGAAGGUUGAGGUUAUGAUAUAAUGUGCCCAGUGGGCCACUUUUGGUAAGCAGAACUGGCGCUGUGGGAUGAACCAAACGUAAUGUUACGGUGCCUAAAUUAACAACUCAUGCAGAUACCAUGAAAGGCGUUGGUUGCUUAAAACAGCAGGACGGUGGACAUGGAAGUCGUAAUCCGCUAAGGAGUGUGUAACAACUCACCUGCCGAAGCAACUAGCCCUUAAAAUGGAUGGCGCUUAAGUUGUAUACCUAUACAUUACCGCUAAAGUACAUGAUUUAUAUGAAAUUUUUGAUUUUAUAUAAAUUUUGAAACUUUAGUGAGUAGGAGGGUACAAUGGUGUGCUUAGAAGUGUUUGGCGUAAGCCUGCAUGGAGCCGCCAUUGGUACAGAUCUUGGUGGUAGUAGCAAAUAAUCGAAUGAGACCUUGGAGGACUGAAGUGGAGAAGGGUUUCGUGUGAACAGUGGUUGAUCACGAGUUAGUCGGUCCUAAGUUCAAGGCGAAAGCCGAAAAUUUUCAAGUUUUAA